rnacentral:rRNA from 1 species
CCUACGGGCUGCAGCAGUGGGGAAUAUUGGGCAAUGGAGGAAACUCUGACCCAGCAACGCCGCGUGAAUGAUGAAGGUCUUCGGAUUGUACAGUUCUUUUCUAAGGGAAGAAGAAAGUGACGGUACCUUAGGAAUCAGCCUCGGCUAACUACGUGCCAGCAGCCGCGGUAAUAGGUAGGAGGCAAGCGUUAUCCGGAAUGACUGGGCGUAAAGGGUGCGUAGGUGGUUUGAUAAGUUGGUAGCGUAACUCCGAGGCUCAACCUCGGCACUACUACCAAAACUGUCGGACUUGAGUGCAGGAGGGGCAACUGGAAUUCCUAGUGUAGCGGUGGAAUGCGUAGAUAUUAGGAGGAACACCAGUGGCGAAGGCGAGUUGCUGGACUGUAACUGACACUGAGGCACGAAAGCGUGGGGAGCAAACAGGAUUAGAUACCCCGGUAGUC